rnacentral:rRNA from 1 species
UUGAGGAUUCACGGGAUUGAUAGGCAUUAGCAGCGAGGAAGGACGUGUAGGAGGACGAUAUGCCUUUUUGAGGAUGUCUGAAUGAAGCGGAAGCGCUUGGGG